UGACAAAAGUUCAUUCAGCAGAGGCUAA
rnacentral:piRNA from 1 species